CCCUUUACUUGGGGGAUAACCCGUUGAAAGACGGACUAAUACCCAAUGAUAUUCAUUGAUGACAUCUGAUUUGAAUUAAAGAUUUAUCGGUAUAGGAUGGGGGAUGCGUCUGAUUAGCUUGUUGGUGAGGUAACGGCUCACCCAGGGCCACGAUCAGUAGGGGUUCUGAGAGGAAGGUCCCCCACAUUGGAACUGAGACACGGUCCCAAACUCCUACGGGAGGCAGCAGUGAGGAAUAUUGGUCAAUGGACGAGAGUCUGAACCAGCCAAGUAGCGUGCAGGAUGACGGCCCUAUGGGUUGUAAACUGCUUUUGUUUGGGAAUAAUCGACAUUACGUGUAAUGUUUUGCAUGUACCAUUCGAAUAAGGACCGGCUAAUUCCGUGCCAGCAGCCGCGGUAAU
rnacentral:rRNA from 1 species